rnacentral:sRNA from 1 species
UCCGUAGGUGAACCUGCGGAAGAAUCAUUAAUAGUGCCCUCUGAUGCAAAUCAUUGGGUUAGAUCUGCUCUCUUCGCAAGAAGAGGGUUUCCAUACACACCGUGAACUGUGGCUUCGGCCAUCACAAACUGUUAGUAAUGAAUGUAAUAUCAUAACAAAAACAAAACUUUUAACAACGGAUCUCUUGGCUCUCGCAUCGAUGAAGAACGCAGCGAAAUGCGAUAAGUAAUGUGAAUUGCAGAAUUCAGUGAAUCAUCGAAUCUUUGAACGCACCUUGCGCCCUUUGGUAUUCCGAAGGGCAUGCCUGUUUGAGUGUCAUGAAACCUCACCCCACUUGGGUUUUUGCCUGAGCGGUGGUGUAUUGGGUGUUGCCUUGCUAAAGGCUCGCCUUAAAGACAUAAGCACCUUGGAUGUAAUACGUUUCAUCCUUCUGGGUGGCUGAUAACCCCACAUAUUCAUGAUCUGGCCUCAAAUCAGGUAGGGCUACCCGCUGAACUUAAGCAUAUCAAUAAGCGGAGGAAAAGAAACUAACUAGGAUUCCCUUAGUAACGGCGAGUGAACCGGGAUGAGCUCAAAUUUAAAAUCUGGCGUCUUUCAGGCGUCCGAGUUGUAAUCUAUAGAGGCGUUUUCCGCGCCGGACCGCGUCCAAGUCUCUUGGAAUAGAGUAUCAAAGAGGGUGACAAUCCCGUACUUGACGCGACAACCGGUGCUCUGUGAUACGUUCUCAAUGAGUCGAGUUGUUUGGGAAUGCAGCUCUAAAUGGGUGGUAAAUUCCAUCUAAGGCUAAAUAUUGGCGAGAGACCGAUAGCGAACAAGUACCGUGAGGGAAAGAUGAAAAGCACUUUGGAAAGAGAGUUAAACAGCACGUGAAAUUGUUAAAAGGGAAACGCUUGAAGU